rnacentral:lncRNA from 1 species
GCUGCCUUCUCCCUGUAUGCUGCAGGGACAGAGCAGCUCCAACCAUGAUCAGUGCAUAAAUCUACCUUCAACGCAGGAUGCUGGAGAGGUACCAAGGGAGAGCAGCGUGCUCCUGGCUGCGUGGUGAGAAGGGAAGGAUGCACACACAGGUAGGGGCUGCUGCCGGGUUCUCAUCCUCUGUUGCGUGCUUGGAUUGAACUAACCCUGCUUGUUGCUUGGAUUGGAGAGGGGAAAUAAGUUGUUGACAGAGGCAGAGCAGUGUGGGUGGUCCUGCAGCCAGGACAAGGCAGCUCUGCCUUCCCUCCCUGCAGCUCCAUAGAGAAGCGGAGCACAUACUUUGCAAUUACUCCUUCCCAGAAUCCAGCCCAACAUUGCAUGUGAAGUUGCUGCUGAGCUGCCUUUCCGUGUGUGAGCAGAGCUGGAGGCUCCUACCAGGCUCUCUUAAUCCUUGAUCCAUGCACUUCAAACAGGAGCCUUGUUUUAGGGAUGUGCUGAGCACUUGUCUCCCACUAGGCUGCUCUUCUGCCUGCGAGGACAGCGAUGUGCUGAGAUAAUACUUUAUUUUUGGGUAAUUCUUGGCUACUGGUCAGUGCUGCGUUGCAGAGUGAUGUUUCUCUUGGACACCCGUUGUUGUGCUGGUGGCUUGUAUGGUGUCCUGGAUCAGUGGGUUGAGGCAACAAAAUGAGCUUAGCUGAGCUUAGCUUCUCACCCCCUUGUUCUCUUGGUGUUGACACCUUCAUGUGUAGUGAGACUUGUUGCCUGAACUCAGUCCAUUUCUUUCCAUUGCAUUGGUCACUCAAAUCUGUGUUUCUCCAUCUGCGCACCUGUGUUCAUUUCCUGCAGUGAUUGCAGGGGACAGGAUGGCUCCUGCUGGUGCUGGGGGCUGCCUUCCUCUCAGGGCCUCUUUGGAGCUGGCUGUGUGUAAGGGUUGGGAUCCCUGGUGUGCAGCAUGAGGAGGAAACCCACCCUGGGACCUGUGCUGGAGCGCGGCUGUGCUGGUGGCUGAGUGGGAUGGGGUGAGAUGUGCUGGGGGUCGGUACGAGCUGUGGAUUUCUCUGUUCAGAUGGGUUUUUCGUGCAUUUUUUUAUCCGCGCCGAGAUUUCCUUGUCUGUGGGAAGGGCUGGGUAUCAUGGAGAAGCAGCACAGGUUGUGUUGAGAGCGCUGAGGUCUCUUGGAGUGAUGCUGGGUCCUGCCUAGAGCUGAAGUAGUAGCACAGGUACUUCUCCACGUGCUUUCCAGUCUCAAAGCUGAGGAGGUGAAAUGGGAGCUAGGGGGUAUAUGAGCAGCACAUCCUGCCUGGGGAGCCUGUGUUAGUGUUGGGAAACAUCUGACAGUGCACGUUCAGCAGCUCAUUCCUUCAGAGCAAGGCGCCUUUUAUGUUCCCACUCCCAAUU